AGUGAACGCUGGCGGUAGGCCUAACACAUGCAAGUCGAACGGCAGCACAGUAAGAGCUUGCUCUUACGGGUGGCGGGUGGCGGACGGGUGAGGAAUACAUCGGAAUCUACUUUUUCGUGGGGGAUAACGUAGGGAAACUUACGCUAAUACCGCAUACGACCUACGGGUGAAAGCAGGGGAUCUUCGGACCUUGCGCGAUUGAAUGAGCCGAUGUCGGAUUAGCUAGUUGGCGGGGUAAAGGCCCACCAAGGCGACGAUCCGUAGCUGGUCUGAGAGGAUGAUCAGCCACACUGGAACUGAGACACGGUCCAGACUCCUACAGGAGGCAGCAGUGGGGAAUAUUGGACAAUGGGCGCAAGCCUGAUCCAGCCAUACCGCGUGGGUGAAGAAGGCCUUCGGGUUGUAAAGCCCUUUUGUUGGGAAAGAAAAGCAGCAGGUUAAUACCCCGCUGUUCUGGCGGUACCCAAAGAAUAAGCACCGGCUAACUUCGUG
rnacentral:rRNA from 1 species